rnacentral:rRNA from 1 species
AUGGCAACAACGACGCGAGAGCAACGCCACCAUCAUCAAUCCACCCACCUUCCGCCCGCCACGACGUGCGCCAAAGGGCACGAAGAAAAGGAGAAAAAGAAAGAGAAACCAGCGCGGCGCGGUCGCCAAUCCUACCUGCCUGCCCUCCGCGGAGACCGUUGCCCGCUUCGCCGUCACAGCCAGCCCCCAAUCAAAAGAGCAGAGCAGAGCCCCCCUCUUCCCCCUUCUCCCUCCCUCCCUCCCCGCUGGCCGGCACUUUCCCCAGUCGAUCGGGAUUCGGGGAGCAUGGCGAGGGCCCUCGACGGCUGCUACUCCGCCAAAGACGUCGCCUACAGCUGUGGGUACUGUGGCUAUGCAUUGAACUUGAGCUCCUCAACACGGAACACGGCCAACAUUGGAUCAAAGUAUGGAAAGCAGAUCAGGAAAGGCGUCGUCUCGUUCUUCGCGAUUGACGAGAGCCGGUUCACACAAACUGACGAGGUGAGCUGCAUGCCAUACUUCAGCUCAAGGUCUUCAUGGGGUUUCUUCAGAAGGAGAACACGAUUGCUCUGCCGCAAGUGCAGUGCCCAUAUCGGUAACGCUUAUGACGACGAGGACUCUGCCUUGUAUCAUAGCUCAGAUGACACACUCGCAAGCUCAGAGGUCAGCAGCAUGUCUAGUCGAAAGAAAUAUGUUAUCAAGAUCAAUGCGCUACAGCCCUCAUCCGACGACUCCGGUGUUCCAUUCUCUCAAUGA